rnacentral:lncRNA from 1 species
CAAUCUGCUAUGGUUUGGCUGUGACCCCACACAAAUCUCAUCUUGAAUUGUAGUUUCCAUAAUCUCUACGUGUCAUGGGAGGGACCCGGUAGGAUGUCAUUGAAUCAUGAGGGCAGUUACCCUCCUGCUGUUCUCCUGAUAGUGAGUUCUCAUGAGAUCUGAUAGCUUUGUAAGGGGCUCUUCUCCCUUUUUGCUGGGUACUUUUCUUUACGGCUGCCAUGUGAAGAAAGACAUGUUUGAUUCUGCCACGAUUGGUCUCAUUCUGUCUUCCAACACUAGAGUGCAGUGGUGCCAUUUCAGCUGACUGCAGCCUGGUCUUCCUGGUCUCUAGCAAUCCUCCCAUCUCAGCUUUCUGCGUAGUUGGGAUCACAGAAAGAGAAUUUGAUUCAUCAAGCCACCUAAAAGAAAACGAGAACAUGAAAUAAACACAUAUGAAAGGUAUUAACUCUUUCUUAACCUCAGUCUCCUCGAAAGCAGAGCCUAAGUCAAGACCCUGGACCAGUGAUGAUUUAGAAAAUGAUCUCUGAAAGCAAGAAAGAGAAGCCAAAGGAGUUGACUGAGGUGUGAAUUUGUGACUGCCUCAUGCUUUAUCACAGUUAUCAUCCUUCAUGAAUCAGAGAUUUCCCAGAGGAGGAAAUGGAAGAUCCAUAGCAAAAUUUGCAUCAGGAGGCUGACCUUGCACCUAACAAGAAUAAUCAAAGCCUGCUUAAAAGUGGUUGCAGAUAAAACAACUUGAGGUGGAGUUGGGACCAAGAGUACUUGUCAUGGCAUGCAACUGUUGACCUAUAACACCUGCAGUACUGCUCCAUGCAGUGUUAACUAAAGAACUAACUGAUAUGAGUUACUUUGAUCACAAAGUACAAUUUUUAUAACAGUACUACUUAGGUGAAAUCUAUUGAAUUAAAGUAUAAAGUAAUUUUUAUUUUUCAACAUCUUGAAUCUACUAUUUUAGAAUUUCUAGGAUGUUAUAAAAGCAAGAAGAACCAUAUCAACUGAGGAUUUAGAAACAAAGUGACAAGGGAACCUGGAGGAAACAUAUUUUCAGCUGGAGAUUGAACACAUGACCACCAGGAAAAUUGUUACAACCUGGAAGUACGUUGGAAAUAAAUUUGAGCUUCCUCAAAUUUAUUUGAGGAAAGCAGGGUUAGGAAAGCAGGGUUAGGAAAGAGGGUUAGGAAAGCAGGAAUUUUUGUGAGGAAAAGGAAAAUUAUGAAGACAUAGAAGAUUGUUUUCUGACCAAAAACGAUGGUUUAUUUAUAGUUUAGAUGUUCUGUAAUCAAAACCAAAUCAUCUAUGAAAUAAUUUGAACUUUGAUAUAUGUUUUGUUAUCUGGGGAAAAUAGUUUGCUGUUUUGAAAAAUUCACACACUUAAUUGGCAGACUUCUCAAAACAGUUGUUUUUAGUAAAACAGUACAUACUCUUUAGCUGUUUAUAGUUGAAAUAACUGUAAGGCUUGUAUUAAAAAACUAGAAAGAGUAAAAUUUAAUUAACCUAACAAAUGAACACAGAAGAAACAGGAUGCAUCCACAGGUGGUAAAUCAUUUCAACUGUGAGUGAAAUGGGAAAGCAAAAGUAAUAGCCAGCUGUUCAGAGCAGUGCAAAUUGUACGCAGCAAACCUGAACUGAAAAUCCAAGCUAUGGCUUAAUGUAAUUCCUUCAAGGCAACAGAUGCUCAUAGAGGUAGAGAGGAGGAGGGCAAUUUAUUGUAGAAAAUUACAUUUUUAUUAUGAUCUGUGAUCUAGAUAUUAAAUUGAAGAUCUCUCAUAGUCGGUAGUCCAAUAUUGGAAACACAAUUUAGUUCUACUAGCAUAGAAAAUUAAGAUUCAGUAUUCAGUAUUAAGCUUCAGUAUUCAGUAAUACUUAGUAUAACCAUCUGGAAUGAGACCCUGUUAGUAUACCAUUCACUCUUAGGCAGAUGCUAGACAAACUGUAUGGAGUAUAAAAAAUGAAAUAAUUAAAGGUCUUUCUCAAAAUAAAAUAUUUUUUCAUUGUUUACAGAGAGUAGAAAAAGAAAAAGAUUCAAUAUUUAUUUAAUAACUGACAAAAAUGAUGAACAAAUCAAUAGAAAAAUAUAGACAUAAUUUUUUUCUUAAUAAACACAUAAUAUGAACCAUAGUAAAUAAUAAUCACCCACAAUAUUAAAGCAACCAGGAGAUUCCAUUAAUGAAAAUGGCAGGAAAAAAGACACUAAUUAUCUCCACCAAAAUAAUCACAUAUUGGUGUUUCCAUAAUUUUAGUAGUUAUAAUUGUGUUUAAUUAGGAUUUCCCACCACAUGAAAAAUUAUUCCUGAAUGUGAGGAAUUUCCAAAACAUUUUUUUAAAAAACUAAUUUGAGGCCAGACACAGUGGCUCAUACCUGUAAUUCCAGCAUCUUGGGAGGCUGAAGUGGGUGGAUCAUUUGAGGUCAAGAGUUCAAGACCAGGCUGGCCAACAUGGUGAAACCCUGUUUCUACUAAAAAUACAAAAAUUAGUCAGCCAUGAUGGCAUGCACACCUGUAGUCCCAGCUACUCGGGAGGCUGAGGCAGGAGAAUCACUUGAACCGGGGAAGUGGAGGUUGCAGUGAGCCGACAUCAAGCCACUGCACUCAAGCCUGGGAGACAGAGCAAGAUACCAUCUCAAAAAAGAAAAAAAAACUAAUUUGUUUAAGAAUUAUAGUAUAUGCACUACAUAUCUGAGAGAGGAUUUAAAUAUUUUACCACUUCUUUUAAAAUGAGGAAAUCCUGCAGCUUUAAGCUGUCUUUGAUAUUUUCAUUAGCAUAUGUGUUACAGUCACGUAAAUUAUGAACCAAGAACACAAUGUUAUUAUUUUGUUUUAAAGCCAUGAGUAUUUUUUAAAACUCAAGAGUGAAAAUAAAGUGUUUCCUAUUUUACUUAUAUUCAUAUACACAAUGUCCUUUCUUCUGUCUUAAAAAAAUAAUUCUUUUUUUUAUGUCAUUAGCAGCUAAUAUUUUUAUGUCGUGGCAGCUAAUACGUUUUAAAAAGUGAUAUUUAGCAUUUUUUGUAAUGCAUGUUCUUUGGUAAAAGAAAUAUUUGUUAAUGUUACUUCAUUAGAAACAUCUUUAUAUAGCUUUCAUUCUUGUAGUACUCUGUAUUUUUGUUAGAUAUAGAAUACCAGGUUGACAUCUAUUCUUAGCAAUUGAAAACUAGUUUUCCACUGCCCAUAAUUUCUGAAUACUCAAUCAAGUUUCCUUACUUGCAAUAUGUCAUUUUUCCUCUUAUUUAUGUCAACUCGUUCACUGGUUUUCAGCUAUUUGGCUGUAAUAUACCUAUGUGAGUUUUGUUGGUUUGUUUAUAUUCCAUCUUGUUUUGUGAGCUCUUGAAUUUCCACAUUUAUGUAAAUAUGUUUAUUUUCAACAAGCAGGUAUUAUACUCCCAUUCUUCAAAGUACUCUCUUCUUUCCAUAAGGACUAUAAUUACACAUAUGUUUGAACUUUUAAUACUGUCACACAUAUCACUGAGUUACUUCUUUCAAUAAUUUUCUUCUGUUUUUCAAAUUAGAUAAUUUCUAUUGGUCCAUCUUGAAGCUUGAUGUUUCUUUCCUUUCCAUUGGCAUUUUGCUCAUAAGUUUAAAUAGUGAAUUUUUUUAGAUACUGCAUUUUUCACAUCUAGAAUUUAAAUUUUGUUUACGAGUAUAUUUCUGCAGAGACUGUUUACCUUUUUACUCAUUAUAAAUUUUCUCUACAUUCUUGAACAAAGGUGUAAUAACUGCUUUAAAGAGUUUUGUUUUUUUUUUUUUUUGCUUUUUGCAAACUCUAGGUUAUUCCAAUUUUGGUCUCGUGAAUUUUCUUUUCUUGACAAUAAGCCAUAUUUUCUGUUUUGUGGGGAUUUUUUGACAUUGAGAAUAAUAUGAUAUACUGUAGAAAUGACGCAUUCUGCCAAAUUUCUCUGAAGAAUAUUAUAUUUUUAAGAAGGUAGUUGAUUUGGCUGAAUUCAUACUGUAACUAUUUCUUAAGCAACAGAGAGUGGAGUAAAUUUCAGUUCAAUUCCUUUAACUUUAGCUUACCUGCAUGAAACUUGAUUAUACAUAAGUGGUUCAUGGAUCCAUAAUAAAAUGAGCAAGGAGUACAGGUAAUAUGCAGAAAGUCAAUCUCACUUCUUUGACAUUUCUCACUUUUCAAAACUCUGGUUGACCCAAACCCUAGCACAUGUUUUUUCAGGACAAGAUUGCAUGUUUUCUGUUAAAACUUUACUUCUUAUUGUACAAACUUUGAUAAGAUCUAUAAAAAUAAGCUUCAGAUAUAUUUGGGAACUGUCACAGUAUUCAUCGUACACUGGGAAUUAUUUGCCUCUUACUCUACAAUAUAACUCCCAGCCUCUCACCUCAGGCCACAAUGGUCUUUUAGGUAAUGCAAUGUGCAAUCCUUCUUACCACAGAGCCUGUGCUUUUGCUAUUGCCAUUGUCUAGAACCCAGCAGAACUGUAUUAGUUUGUUUUCACGAUGCUGUGAAGAAAUACCCAAGACUAGGUACUUUAUAAAGAAAAGAGAUUUAAUUGACUCACACUUCUACAUGGCUGGGAGGCCUCAGAAAACUUACAAUCAUAAUGGAAGGGGAAGCAAACACAUCCUUCUUCACAUGACAGCAGGAGAGAGAAGUACUGAGCAAAGUGAUCGAAAGCCACUUAUAAAACCAUCAGAUCUCAUGUGAACUCACUCACUAUCACAAGAACAGCAUGGAGAAACCUCCCCCAUAAUCUAAUCACCUCCCAGGAGGUCCCUCCUCCAACGCAUGGGGAUUACAAUUUAUGAGGAAAUUUGGGUGGGGACACAAAGCCAGAAUACAUCAUUCUGCCCCUGACACCUCCCAAAUCUCAUCUUUCUCACAUUUCAAAACACAAUUAUGCCUUCUCAAUAGUUCCCCCAAAUUUUAAUUCAUUUCAGCGUUAACCCAAAAGUCCAAGUCCAAAGUCUCACCUGAGAUAAGGCAAGACUCUUCCACCUAUGUAGCCUGUAAUAUCAAUAACAAAGCACUCCUUUAACAGCAUAAUCUAACUCUCACAGACAAGUGAAGAUUGUCUACUGGAAGAAUUGGGUUUUGCAUUCAUGAUUGAUGAGAUUGUUGUAAAAAGUAAAAAGAAACAGUUUACUGAUGGCACACAUAUGUGAGUUGCUGAUAAGAUGCUUUUUGGGUUCCAUUAUUAUGCCAUUUGUCUUUAAUGCAUUGUUUCUUUUUUUUUUUUUUUUUUUUACUUUCUGAUUAUCUAGCUGUUUGAUGACUCUUUGCUGGUAUCUUGAUUCAAGAACAUUUGAAAUAAUGCAAAACCGAAUAAUUUUCCAUAAGAAUUAUUGUGAUUUGUACAUAUAUAUAUAUUCUUUUUAUAUUUAUUCAUUAACACAAAUU